GAACACGGAAGCUUUGUGUUUGGGACCCUCUCAGACAUCUCCUCUGAAUGUCUUCACUUGGCUGGUCCUCAUUUCUACUCUUUCAAGUAGAAUUAUAAUUCUGACUGGGGUAAAGACAUAUUGCCUGGAUCUUGAGUUGCCAUCUUUAGCCAAAAAGUGGAAUCUACAGGCUGAAGAUGGACAAACCUCAAGAUAGAAGGAGCCUGAGUGCCUGAUAAUGAUAGUGCCAUGACACCCAGCUCUGGACUGCUUACUUUGGAUUUCUUUUGCAUGAGAGAAAUUUUUUAAAUCUUUAUUGGUGAAUCUAAUCCUUAUUAUUGUACCUGUUAAACUGCCCCCCAUGUGGCAGCCAUAGAAAUGCACCACUCAGACUUCAUUUUAAGAGAAUCUGCUGCAAAGAACAUAGUUGGUUGAUAGCCUUCAACUGCCAUAGCUCUGGAUCUGCCACGUGGUUCACAAAAAGGCUAUUCUCCCUCCAAGCUGUCUCAGCAAGUGACUGAACAUGGAAGGGGUACUGGAGCUGGGCCAUUUCUGCCCGGUGUAGGGCUUCUCCAAAAGGCAGUCCUUUGCUUUGGAGCUCCCCAUUGGCCUGCCAUGGUUUUCUUUGAGCUGCCCUGUGCACGGAGGCUCCUCCUAUCUGAGCCUACUUCUGUCCCUCUGUCAUGUGUGUAAGCCCUGUAUUGCCAUCUGAAGCUUCACCCAA